rnacentral:misc_RNA from 1 species
CAAUAAGUGUUUAAUGGCACUUUAAAUCCAUUACCCACCUUGUGUGCACUGUAAGGAGGAGGCAGAGCGGUUACCGUUCUGUCGCUUUCAUUAUACAUAUACUAUCUUCAUUUCUCGUCUACAUUUGUAUGAGCAUAAAAACUCUAAUA